AUUAUACCAUAGCUCCCCAAUUGCCGGCUCAAUAGUACUUGCAGCAAUCUUGCUAAAACUAGGUAGCUAUGGCAUGAUACGAGUUAUUCCGACUCUUAACCCCUUAACAGAAAAAAUAAGCUACCCCUUCCUUAUCUUAUCCCUAUGAGGCAUGGUUAUAACAAGCUCUAUCUGCUUACGACAAGCCGACCUAAAAU